CAUGUCUUUUUGAUAAUAAUUUAAAGUCUGACCUGCCCUAUGAAUUAUUUUUAAAUGGCUGCGGUAUUUUGACCGUACAAAGGUAGCAUAAUAAUUAGUUUUUUAAUUGGGAACUGGUAUGAAUGGUCGAACGAGAAAAAGACUGUCUCAAUUUAAGUUAAAUUAGAAUUUUAUUUUUAAGUCAAAAAGCUUAAAUGAAUUUAAAAGACGAGAAGACCCUAUAGAGUUUUAUAUAAUUUUAGUUAUUUGAAAAUUUAAGAAUAGUAAAUUUGAAUAAUUAUAUUUGUAUUUGAUUGGGGCGAUUAAAAAAUUAAAAGAACUUUUUUUAUAUAUAUACAUUGAUAUAUGUUUAAAUGAUCCAUAUUUUAUGAUUAUAAGAUUAAAUUACCUUAGGGAUAACAGCGUAAUUUUUUUUUAGAGUUCUUAUCGAAAAAAAAGUUUGCGACC
rnacentral:rRNA from 1 species